GGGCUGGCACCUAUAUAUAUAUAGUUACAGUACAGCUGCCAUAAUGGGUUUAUAUAGUACUAUCUUACCUCCCAAAAAUACACAUAAGCCCACAUUGUCCCAGCUGGGCUCUGGACACCAGAGCAAAGGGAAGGAGGAUCUGACUUCGGCACGUCUUAGGAUGCCUACACAUACCGUAGAGGAGUAUUCAAAGCAAGGCAUAAAACGGAGACAGUGACACAGGAUACGAGUGCUGUAGUGGAACUGAAGCCGCGCUUGAUGCUUCCUAUCAGGUGACGCGGUCACACUCCGCUCCCAGCUGUCAGGCAGACGCCCAGUAACGGCGUCUGGAAUUUCAGGGCUGACGCGUUUCUCCCAAAGAAAACUUAUGAUGCCGAUCUUAUGCGCAUUGAGGGAUGAUGUUGUGAGUUUUGCUUCCUGGUGACCUGUACUGACCCUUCUGUACACACUGACCAUUGCCAUACUAUACAUGUUUGCUUGCAGUUAAUAUACAGUAAGUUUCCUACUUCUUAAAUUUGGCAACUGUCUUGUCACUUGCCGGUAAGGUUGCAGGUGAUGGAGAGCUAGCAGUCGUAAAUGGCCCUUAGCAAUGACUACAUCGUGUUUAUUUGGCCGCAAGCAGUAGUGCUGAGGUGGAGUCUCUGGACUAAUAUUUAAUUUUGCCUUUACAAAGAAAUUGGCGUAGCAGACCCCAUUCACGGGAACAUAUUAAACCCAAGCUUCAUGUGACGUUUUCUGAGCCUAUAGACCUAUUCCCAUGUGGUUUAAUGAGUAUUAGUAGAAAAAGACAAUUGGAAAUAGCACAUACAUUAACAGGAUAUAUUACUCUCCCGAAAACACACACAGGAGCCCAAAAAAUAGUCCUCAAUAUCCCAAAGCAGCCGGGGAUGGAUGGGUUGUUGGGUAGGUGGUU